rnacentral:rRNA from 1 species
GGAACGUGCCUUUAGGUUCGGAAUAACUCAGGGAAACUUGAGCUAAUACCGGAUACGCCCUUUUGGGGAAAGGUUGACUGCCGAAGGAUCGGCCCGCGUCUGAUUAGCUUGUUGGUGGGGUAACGGCCCACCAAGGCGAUGAUAGGUAGCCGGCCUGAGAGGGUGGACGGCCACAAGGGGACUGAGAUACGGCCCUUACUCCUACGGGAGGCAGCAGUGGGGAAUAUUGGACA